CCUACGGGAGACUGCAGUGAGGAAUAUUGGUCAAUGGGCUUACGCCUGAACCAACCAAGUCGCGUGAGGGAAGACUGCCCUCUGGGUUGUAAACCUCUUUUGUCAGGGAGCAAUUGGCGCUACGUGUAGCGUUAUCGAGAGUACCUGAACAAAAAGCAUCGGCUAACUCCGUGCCAGCAGCCGCGGUAAUACGGAGGAUGCGAGCGGUAUCCGGAUUUAUUGGGUGUAAAGGGUGCGUAGGCGGAAUGCCAAGUCAGCGGUAAAAUCGCGGGGCUCAACCGCGCUCCGCCGUUGAAACUGGCGUUCUUGAGUGGGCGAGAGGUAUGCGGAAUGCGUGGUGUAGCGGUGAAAUGCAUAGAUAUCACGCAGAACUCCGGUGGCGAAGGCAGCAUACCGGCGUCCAACUGACGCUGAAGCACGAAAGCGUGGGUAUCGAACAGGAUUAGAUACCCGAGUAGUC
rnacentral:rRNA from 1 species